AUUCUGGCUCAGGAUGAACGCUGGCGGCGUGCUUAACACAUGCAAGUCGAACGGGAUCCAUCAAGCUUGCUUGGUGGUGAGAGUGGCGAACGGGUGAGUAAUGCGUGACCGACCUGCCCCAUACACCGGAAUAGCUCCUGGAAACGGGUGGUAAUGCCGGAUGCUCCGACUCCUCGCAUGGGGUGUCGGGAAAGAUUAUAUCGGUAUGGGAUGGGGUCGCGUCCUAUCAGGUAGUCGGCGGGGUAACGGCCCACCGAGCCUACGACGGGUAGCCGGCCUGAGAGGGCGACCGGCCACAUUGGGACUGAGAUACGGCCCAGACUCCUACGGGAGGCAGCAGUGGGGAAUAUUGCACAAUGGGCGCAAGCCUGAUGCAGCGACGCCGCGUGCGGGAUGACGGCCUUCGGGUUGUAAACCGCUUUUGAUCGGGAGCAAGCCUUCGGGUGAGUGUACCUUUCGAAUAAGCACCGGCUAACUACGUGCCAGCAGCCGCGGUAAUACGUAGGGUGCAAGCGUUAUCCGGAAUUAUUGGGCGUAAAGGGCUCGUAGGCGGUUCGUCGCGUCCGGUGUGAAAGUCCAUCGCUUAACGGUGGAUCUGCGCCGGGUACGGGCGGGCUGGAGUGCGGUAGGGGAGACUGGAAUUCCCGGUGUAACGGUGGAAUGUGUAGAUAUCGGGAAGAACACCAAUGGCGAAGGCAGGUCUCUGGGCCGUUACUGACGCUGAGGAGCGAAAGCGUGGGGAGCGAACAGGAUUAGAUACCCUGGUAGUCCACGCCGUAAACGGUGGAUGCUGGAUGUGGGGCCCGUUCCACGGGUUCCGUGUCGGAGCUAACGCGUUAAGCAUCCCGCCUGGGGAGUACGGCCGCAAGGCUAAAACUCAAAGAAAUUGACGGGGGCCCGCACAAGCGGCGGAGCAUGCGGAUUAAUUCGAUGCAACGCGAAGAACCUUACCUGGGCUUGACAUGUUCCCGACAGCCGUAGAGAUAUGGCCUCCCUUCGGGGCGGGUUCACAGGUGGUGCAUGGUCGUCGUCAGCUCGUGUCGUGAGAUGUUGGGUUAAGUCCCGCAACGAGCGCAACCCUCGCCCUGUG
rnacentral:rRNA from 1 species